GGCCUCAUCCAAUCAGAGAACAUGAGCACAGGAGGAGGGGCUGAGGCUUCCUCAGAGCUGCCUACAGAAACCACUGCCUCCAGAUUCCCAAGACUCCGAGUCCUGGUGGCAACACCAACUCUUGCCUAAAUUCCCAGGGACCAGCAGUUCGGGGACUCGCCAGCCGCCAAAAUCAUCUCUUGGAAGGCCGCUUCUCUCCUCCUGUGAUGGUUUGAAGAAGAAAAUGUCCCCCUUAGUCUCAGUUCAAGAUAUGAGCGUUCAGCAUUCAGUUCCUGCUGUAUGCCUGCAGUGUGCUGCUACUCUUCCCUGCCACGAUGGACUCUUAACCUCUGGAACCACAGGGUUUCUCUGUGCAGUCCUGGCCAUCCUGGAAUCUCUCUAUAGACCAGGCUGGUCUCAAACUCAGAGAUUCAUCUGCUUCUACCUCCCAAGUGCUGGGGUUAAAGGUGUGCACCGCCACAUUUCAACACAUUCUUUAGAAUUGUCUUAAAGAAUAAUACAUUAAAGAUACAGUAAACAUCUCAACUGAAC